rnacentral:rRNA from 1 species
AGUGAACGCUGGCGGCGUGCCUAACACAUGCAAGUCGAACGAUGAUUGGAGAGCUUGCUCUUCAUGAUUAGUGGCGCACGGGUGAGUAACGCAUAGGUAAUGUGCCCCUUAGUCUGGGAUAGCCACUGGAAACGGUGAUUAAUACUAGAUACUCCUUCUUGUCUCAAGGCAAGUCGGGAAAGUUUUUCGCUAAGGGAUCAGCCUAUGUCCUAUCAGCUUGUUGGUGAGGUAACGGCUCACCAAGGCUAUGACGGGUAUCUGGUUUGAGAGGAUGAUCAGACACACUGGAACUGAGACACGGUCCAGACUCCUACGGGAGGCAGCAGUGAGGAAUAUUGCACAAUGGAGGAAACUCUGAUGCAGCAACGCCGCGUGGAGGAUGACGCAUUUCGGUGUGUAAACUCCUUUUAUUAGGGAAGAUUAUGACGGUACCUAAUGAAUAAGCACCGGCUAACUCCGUGCCAGCAGCCGCAGUAA